CCAGAGGGUUGGGCGAUCGCGUCAUGUGCAAACAUGUCGAGGAAAGUCCGGGCUCCACGUAACGACGGUGCCGGGUAACGCCCGGCGGGGGUGACCCCAGGGACAGUGCCACAGAGAGCAGACCGCCCCGGCGCACGCCGGGGUAAGGGUGAAAGGGUGCGGUAAGAGCGCACCGCGGGGCCGGUAACGGCAACGGCACGGCAAACCCCACCGGGAGCAAGACCGAAUAGGGGUGGCAAAUGGGUUUGUUGCAACUCGUCGCCCGGGUUGGUUGCUGGAGGCGGCAUGCAAAUGUCGUCCGAGAGGAAUGAUCGCCCAGUUCCCGUUUCGGCGGGGAUGGACAGAACCCGGCUUACAGACCCUCUGGCACC
rnacentral:RNase_P_RNA from 1 species